GAUGCAGUCAUCAGUUGAUUCCCAAUACUGCCAGAAAACAUUUUCGCUUUCAGUCGGCUCUCUUGAUUUCUUGCUUCUAUCGAUGGGACUGUCUUCUUGGGCUGUAGCCCUUUGCUUUCUUGUCGGUUUGCAUUCCCAUCCACUAAGUAUUCUGGCCAAAUUCGUGGGUAAUCAUGAAAAUUUUUUAAAUUAUAUUCCCGCUGCAUCUGGAGAUUUUCCGUAUUUGUGCAUUUUGAACUUGAAUGGCUAUUUGUGUGGAGGAACCCUAAUUGGACCUUCCCAUAUCUUGACUGCAGCUCAUUGUUUACACGGUCACGCAAUCACAGAAAUCAGCAAAUUCAGUGCUGUGUUAAAUUCACUUGCGAUUGACGGAAGCAGUACAGGAGCUGUUAUAAGAGGAGUAAAGGACUUUAUCGUUCACGAACAAUACAAUCCCAGCUACAAGGAUAACGACAUUGCCAUAUUGAUCCUAAGUUCGCCAGUUACUAAUCUAUCGUUCGCUACUCUUCCUACUGAUUCCAUAAAAAAAGCAACAAUCUUAAAAGCAUCUACCACGAAAACCCCUACGACAACACCUAAACCAACAUCGGCAAAAGAAAAACAGACAAUAACAGAAAAUUUCAAAUCCACUAUUAAUCAACAAAACAUAACGACUCAAAAAGCCCAUCAAGAAGUAUUUUUUACUUCAACAUCGAUACCUAAACCAAAUGCAUCAACGACAGCAGAAAAUACGACUUCAGGCUCUGAUUUAGUUCCGCUUAGUAAUAUUUUCAGUAGCUUACUAGCAAUCAAGUCGACAACAACACAACUUCCGACCACUAAAACAACUAUUACGACUACACCACAUACCUCAACAAAUGCCAUUUCCACAAUUGCAACGGCGGCAGCAGAAAAUACGACGUCAGGCUCUGAUUUAGUGCCCCUUAUUAAUAUUUUUAGUAGCUUGCUAGCAAUUAAAUCAACAACAACACAACUUCCGACAACUAAAACAACUAUUACGACUACAAUGCAUACCACAACAAAUGCGAUUUUAACAAUUGCAACAACAUUAGAAAAUACGACGACAGGCUCUGAUUUAGUGCCCCUUAGCCAUAUUUUCAGUAGCUUACAAGCAAUUAAAUCGACAACAACACAACGUCCCACAACUAAAACAGCUAUUACGACUUCAACGCAUACCACAACAAAUGCAAAUUCAACAAUUACAAUGACAUCAGAAAAUACGACCCCAGGCUCUGAUUUAGUGCCCCUUAGCAAUAUUUUCAGUAGCUUACAAGAAAGUAAAAUGACAACAACACAAACCCCCUCAACAGCUAAUAAAACUACGGCGAAACCCAACACCAACAAAACAUCAAAAACUAAAACAACAAUUGCAACGACGACAGAAGGAAAACCAACUUCAGACUACGAGUUGGUGCCCCUCAGCCAUUUUUUCAGUAGCACAUCUGCUAAAAGUGCUUUUAGUACUUUUGCGAAUAUCCCGGCCGUUAUAACUGGAUGGAGAACAAUUUCUCUAGAAGCUUUUCAAAGGUAUUACUGAAAGCGGACGUCAUAAUAAGAGACAACUCCUUCUGCAAAAGUCGACAUGAUAGUUUUUUUAUCGGCGCUGAUAUGUUAUGUGCAUCCGCUUCCAGCGCACACACUUGUCAGGAUAUGAGUGGUGGUCCCCUGUUCGUUAAUGGUGUUCAAGUUGGUAUCUUCAGCUGGGGAAAUGGCUGUGUUGAUUCUAAUUUUGCUGGCAU
rnacentral:misc_RNA from 1 species